GGCGGCGCGCCUAAUACAUGCAAGUCGAGCGGACCGGAUUGGGGCUUGCCUUGAUUCGGUCAGCGGCGGACGGGUGAGUAACACGUGGGCAACCUGCCCGCAAGACCGGGAUAACUCCGGGAAACCGGAGCUAAUACCGGAUAACACCGAAGACCGCAUGGUCUUCGGUUGAAAGGCGGCCUUUGGGCUGUCACUUGCGGAUGGGCCCGCGGCGCAUUAGCUAGUUGGUGAGGUAACGGCUCACCAAGGCGACGAUGCGUAGCCGGCCUGAGAGGGUGACCGGCCACACUGGGACUGAGACACGGCCCAGACUCCUACGGGAGGCAGCAGUAGGGAAUCUUCCGCAAUGGGCGAAAGCCUGACGGAGCGACGCCGCGUGAGCGAAGAAGGCCUUCGGGUCGUAAAGCUCUGUUGUGAGGGACGAAGGAGCGCCGUUCGAAGAGGGCGGCGCG
rnacentral:rRNA from 1 species